rnacentral:rRNA from 1 species
AACAGGAUUAGAUACCCUGGUAGUCCACGCCGUAAACGAUGUCGACUUGGAGGUUGUGCCCUUGAGGCGUGGCUUCCGGAGCUAACGCGUUAAGUCGACCGCCUGGGGAGUACGGCCGCAAGGUUAAAACUCAAAUGAAUUGACGGGGGCCCGCACAAGCGGUGGAGCAUGUGGUUUAAUUCGAUGCAACGCGAAGAACCUUACCUGGUCUUGACAUCCACGGAAGUUUUCAGAGAUGAGAAUGUGCCUUCGGGAACCGUGAGACAGGUGCUGCAUGGCUGUCGUCAGCUCGUGUUGUGAAAUGUUGGGUUAAGUCCCGCAACGAGCGCAACCCUUAUCCUUUGUUGCCAGCGGUCUGGCCGGGAACUCAAAGGAGACUGCCAGUGAUAAACUGGAGGAAGGUGGGGAUGACGUCAAGUCAUCAUGGCCCUUACGACCAGGGCUACACACGUGCUACAAUGGCGCAUACAAAGAGAAGCGACCUCGCGAGAGCAAGCGGACCUCAUAAAGUGCGUCGUAGUCCGGAUUGGAGUCUGCAACUCGACUCCAUGAAGUCGGAAUCGCUAGUAAUCGUGGAUCAGAAUGCCACGGUGAAUACGUUCCCGGGCCUUGUACACACCGCCCGUCACACCAUGGGAGUGGGUUGCAAAAGAAGUAGGUAGCUUAACCUUCGGGAGGGCGCUUACCACUUUGUGAUUCAUGACUGGGGUGAAGUCGUAACAAGGUAACC